AUGAAUCAAUACAAGCAAACAAGAUCGGUUCCGGGGAUUGGUAUGGCAAAUACCUUACGAUUUGCCUGGACUGAAAAGGAGAUGGAGCCGUGGAGUAGAGAGACAUUUGGAAGGACCAUUUUGAUGGGAUGCCUCAGGAUAGAGGUGAAGGAAGUGCUCUGCCUUCAAGGGAACCCGAAUGAGAAGGCUUUCGAUGUGACGUUUCACAAAGAAGAAAAACAUGACGAAGUAAUGAAGAUGGCAAAGGAAGCGGAAAAAACGGGACCCCUGUGCCAUUAUGCGGUGACCAGCCUGGCGAAGAACAACUUCAGGGUGGUCACCGUAACCAUGUACAAUCCGCAUGUGAAAGAUGAAGAGGUGAGGGCCUUUCUGGGGAGGUACAUGGACAAUGUCUCCUCAGCGAGGUGCCUCAGGGACUCCCUGGGUUUCUGGAAUGGGAGGAGAGGGUUCCAGGCGUUACUCAGGGAGUCCCCGAAGAGUGUGGAUGGCUACCUCCAUCCUCCGGCGAUGUUCUCCCUGGGGCUGACAGGGGAACACUCUACUAUGCACGUCAGCCCCCGUUCUGCAGGCGUUGUAUGGCCUACGGCCAUAUCCUGGCCUCGUGCAGUGCCAAGAGGUGUCGAUUUUGUGGGUCGGAAGAGCACGAGGCCAAGGAAUGUGACGAGCCCAAGGCUUGCCACGGGUGUGGCUCAAGAGCACACCUGUGGCGUGAUUGCCCGGCUCGUCACAGGUCAUACGCGUCUGCAGCUGGGGGGGGAGCGGGGGAUGGGGGGAGGAAAGAGAGGACGCAUGCGGAUUGUACGGAUGGCACAGUGGAAAGGACGGAGAAGGAUGAAGAAGGGAAGAAGGAAGAGGCGGAGAGAAGAUGGAAAGAAGGAAAAAGGAGAGAUUAAAAAGGUGGAAGAACGUGGAGGAGCAGAGAAGAGGGAGAAGGGGACAGUGGUACGAGAAGGAGUGGAAGAGGGAAGGGGGACAGAGGGAAGGGGGACAGUGACGGAGAAGGAGGGAGUGGAGGUGGGAGGGGAUGGGGGGAAGGAGUGGGGGGACAGCCUGCCAGGCUUCCUCGAGGUCGAAAUGAGGGAUUUGGUGGAGGAGUUAGCGGGGAUGGGACGUUGUGUCUCCCCGCUACCUCCUUCACCAAAGAAGAAGGGGAUAAAGAGGGGGAGCUUGGCAGGA
rnacentral:lncRNA from 1 species